rnacentral:rRNA from 1 species
GAAACCCGGUGAUCUAGCCAUGUGCAGGUUGAAGGUUGGGUAACACUAACUGGAGGACCGAACCGACUAAUGUUGAAAAAUUAGCGGAUGACUUGUGGCUGGGGGUGAAAGGCCAAUCAAACCGGGAGAUAGCUGGUUCUCCCCGAAAGCUAUUUAGGUAGCGCCUCGUGAACUCAUCUUCGGGGGUAGAGCACUGUUUCGACUAGGGGGCCAUCC